AUACGUAGGUGGCAAGCGUUGUCCGGAAUUAUUGGGCGUAAAGCGCGCGCAGGUGGUUCCUUAAGUCUGAUGUGAAAGCCCCCGGCUCAACCGGGGAGGGUCAUUGGAAACUGGGGAACUUGAGUGCAGAAGAGGAUAGUGGAAUUCCAAGUGUAGCGGUGAAAUGCGUAGAGAUUUGGAGGAACACCAGUGGCGAAGGCGCCUGUCUGGUCUGUAACUGACACUGAGGCGCGAAAGCGUGGGGAGCAAACAGGAUUAGAUACCCUGGUAGUCCACGCCGUAAACGAUGAGUGCUAAGUGUUGGGGGGUUUCCGCCCCUCAGUGCUGCAGCUAACGCAUUAAGCACUCCGCCUGGGGAGUACGGUCGCAAGACUGAAACUCAAAUGAAUUGACGGGG
rnacentral:rRNA from 1 species